CGCCCGGCCCCGCCCAGCCCGCGCCGGAGGCCUCGUCUCCACGACGCCCCUCAGACCCAGAGAACAACAACAUCAGCAAUGAGUGCCCAUCACAGGGCAGCAAGCAGUCAGUGGGGUGCCCUGCCAUCUUGUACCAUGGCUCAGAAGAGGAACUGAUGGCCAGCAUCGAGCGGGAGUACGGCUGCUGAGCUCCACACACGGGGCAUGGCUGGAGCAGCAGAGCUGCCAGCAGGAGAACGCAAUGCCUGGGAUGGUGAGGAGGAGUGCAAGGAGAAAGACCAGAAAAAGCACACCUUGUGAAUCAGUAUCUCAAAGCUCCUCUUGAAAUGGCCUUUUUACCAGAUUUACUGGCUUUUUGAGAUGUGGUGCUUUAGGGAAGAAGACCUUUGCUUUGUCCUGGCAGUAAUAAAGUGCAGCAAAAUCAUUCGAUAUAGAUCUGACUUUGGGAGUGUGCUGUGAAAUGCAGCAAGCUCUGAUGCAUUUCUGCUCCCCGGCAGAAAAAUCACUGUGUUAUAUCCUUAGCUGAUCCAAAGUAAAACAGAAAGGCUGUGGAUCUCUGAAGAAAAUAAUGUUUUCUGUGCUCCCCAAUAGGGAAGCCUUGUGUUGUAGGAUUUCUGCCUUUGUUUUAUCUGCAUCUUAAUGUAUCAUGAGUAGCUGCUUCUUAACAGAAGUAGAAAAAUACCUAAUUUCUAUCUUUAGCUGAAGUAUUCAAGAUAUCAGAUGAAAUACAGAGUGUGAAUGCAAGAGGAAACAGCAGGACACAUCUUAAGAUGCUGUAUUAUGAUGUCUUCGUCAUUGCAGGUAUUUGUGAAAGAGAAAUAUAUGCAUCUGUAUUCUAUGUACCUUUCAAUAAAGGCAACAGUGGUUUUGAAGCAGAGUCUCCUGGAAAAAAUCCUGUUUUGAACGCCAGCAUUUUCUGUGGGGAGCAGAAAUAUUUAGGUUUAGACCCAUGGCUGCCGAGCCACUGCUCUGCAGCGCAUCCAUUGGAUCUCCUGCCACUUGUGUUAGCUUUUGGCAGCUCUCAAAGACCUCCUGUGGCAAGCAGAACAGAUGUGUGCCGGGAAAACACUGGAGGCCUCCUGACUGCAGCUCUGCAGGCGGCCUUGGGGCUCUGUGCCCUGCCCAG